rnacentral:lncRNA from 1 species
AAUAAAUCUAAAUCAGAUUUUUUUUCAAUAUAAAACUUUCUAUCAAUAUCAUUUACAAAUUGCUUUAUAAUCUUUGCAGCCUUCUACCAGCAAAGAUGUUUAAAGUGAUCCUUUUGAAGAGAAUAUGUUAUGAGACUGCUACCCUAUAUCAUAUAGUAUUGAUGUAUCAUAAAGCAGUUAGGUUUCUACCAUUGGUGUCAUCUAGUACUGUAAUUCAUGGUGUCACUCCUUCGUCCUCAAUAUUAUAUAAACUGUUCGAUCAUAUAUUUUCUUUACAUUGCACAAAAUAUGAAAUUAUGUAACACAACUUCAAUCUAUUACUACACUUGUGACUUACUAACAGUAGAAUCCUCCACAGGUUUCUCAACAAACAAGAAAUGACUAUUUUAACAAGGACUAUUUUUAAAGGCCC